rnacentral:rRNA from 1 species
CUUAACACAUGCAAGUCGAGGGGCAGCAUGGUCUUAGCUUGCUAAGGCCGAUGGCGACCGGCGCACGGGUGAGUAACACGUAUCCAACCUGCCGUCUACUCUUGGACAGCCUUCUGAAAGGAAGAUUAAUACAAGAUGGCAUCAUGAGUCCGCAUGUUCACAUGAUUAAAGGUAUUCCGGUAGACGAUGGGGAUGCGUUCCAUUAGAUAGUAGGCGGGGUAACGGCCCACCUAGUCUUCGAUGGAUAGGGGUUCUGAGAGGAAGGUCCCCCACAUUGGAACUGAGACACGGUCCAAACUCCUACGGGAGGCAGCAGUGAGGAAUAUUGGUCAAUGGGCGAGAGCCUGAACCAGCCAAGUAGCGUGAAGGAUGACUGCCCUAUGGGUUGUAAACUUCUUUUAUAAAGGAAUAAAGUCGGGUAUGGAUACCCGUUUGCAUGUACUUUAUGAAUAAGGAUCGGCUAACUCCGUGCCAGCAGCCGCGGUAAUACGGAGGAUCCGAGCGUUAUCCGGAUUUAUUGGGUUUAAAGGGAGCGUAGAUGGGUGUUUAAGUCAGUUGUGAAAGUUUGCGGCUCAACCGUAAAAUUGCAGUUGAUACUGGAUAUCUUGAGUGCAGUUGAGGCAGGCGGAAUUCGUGGUGUAGCGGUGAAAUGCUUAGAUAUCACGAAGAACUCCGAUUGCGAAGGCAGCCUGCUAAGCUGCAACUGACAUUGAGGCUCGAAAGUGUGGGUAUCAAACAGGAUUAGAUACCCUGGUAGUCCACACGGUAAACGAUGAAUACUCGCUGUUUGCGAUAUACUGCAAGCGGCCAAGCGAAAGCGUUAAGUAUUCCACCUGGGGAGUACGCCGGCAACGGUGAAACUCAAAGGAAUUGACGGGGGCCCGCACAAGCGGAGGAACAUGUGGUUUAAUUCGAUGAUACGCGAGGAACCUUACCCGGGCUUAAAUUGCAGAUGAAUUACGGUGAAAGCCGUAAGCCGCAAGGCAUCUGUGAAGGUGCUGCAUGGUUGUCGUCAGCUCGUGCCGUGAGGUGUCGGCUUAAGUGCCAUAACGAGCGCAACCCUUGUUGUCAGUUACUAACAGGUUCCGCUGAGGACUCUGACAAGACUGCCAUCGUAAGAUGUGAGGAAGGUGGGGAUGACGUCAAAUCAGCACGGCCCUUACGUCCGGGGCUACACACGUGUUACAAUGGGGGGUACAGAGGGCCGCUACCACGCGAGUGGAUGCCAAUCCCCAAAACCUCUCUCAGUUCGGACUGGAGUCUGCAACCCGACUCCACGAAGCUGGAUUCGCUAGUAAUCGCGCAUCAGCCACGGCGCGGUGAAUACGUUCCCGGGCCUUGUACACACCGCCCGUCAAGCCAUGGGAGCCGGGGGUACCUGAAGUGCGUAACCGCGAGGAGCGCCCUAGGGUAAAACUGGUGACUGGG